CAGCAACAACACGCCGCCUCGCUACCACCUGGAUUUGCGCGGCGACCCCGCGACACAGUUGCUCGGCACACGCGCCCCCCUCACACGACGCCCCCUCCCUCACUGCCGUCACUUUCGUUGUUGUUUCGCCCUCCUUUCUUCAUUUCGUGUUGAAGUUCGCUUGUUUUGCUCGCGCUCUUUGCGCGCGCGCGUGUGUGUGUGUGUGUGUGUGUGUGUGGGGCGCUCUGGCGACGACACACCCACUUCCAGCGAGUACUGGUUUGAGGCACACAUCCGUCGACACGGGUUGGAGGGCGACGGCAUCUCGUGUGUGCGCGCGCUCACGGAUUCCGAUCUCUCCUCUCUUCGAUCUGUUUCGCGCAUCUCGGAUGAACUUUUCCUUUCCGCACUUCACGCGUGCCAGCACGGACAAUGUGUACACGCAGCCACCGCAGAAGUCCCUGCUCGAGUUGGUCAUCGAGGCCAAGGGCCGGCUGGGCCUAGUGCCCCAGCGUCAAGCGCUGACGCAGCACCCAUCUCCGUCCCCGUUCAGCCACUUCUCGGACAGCGACGAGGAAGGUGAAGGCGUUGAUGGCAAUGCGAACGAGGCGGAGACGCGGCAGGAUGCUGUGCUCACUACCCGCACAUCCUGGGUGCCGCCGGCGUAUCUGCUGGACUACUUCUUUUCUGGCGAGUUCCUCUCCGUGUUCUUGACGUUGCACGGCAUCAACGCCUCACGCCCGGUGUCGAUGCUGGUGCCACCGCUGUUGACGGUGCGUGAUGCGCAGCUGCACCCCCUCGUCGAGGCCGGUCUCUGCGCCGUUUUGCAAGAUGCGGCGCGCAGCAGCUCUCGUCAGCAGCGUAGCGGCGGCGGUGGUGGAUGGCGGGACGGUGUACGGGGAGGACGAGGGGGUCGCGAUGGCGGUGAGAGGAGCUACAUGGAGAGCAACGCCGCUGCUGCCAGCGCCGACGGCCCUUUCAUGCCCUACUGGGGAGGCGCACAGCAGCACCAGCUGCAAGGCGGCUUGCUUGGCGCUGACGAGGGCAACGACAACGGUGCGGCAGAGCCAAGCGCACCGAUUGCGGCGCAUCCAUUUUGCGCCGAUGCGCAGCGCAGGGUGGACGAGCCCGCGGCGACACCGCUGGCACAACGCCUUCUUUUUCGGGGACUGCAGCAGGUCGCACUCCCGGCGCUACUCCUUGGCGACCAUGUGCUGCUGAGCGGCCCGCGUGGUAUCGGCAAGCGCACGGCGGCACUGCUCUCUGCUGGCGCAAACGUUUUGGCAUUCACUAGUAACGCCAACCCCGGCGCCGCAGAGGAGGCGGACGCCCCUCCAGCGCCCGUGGAGGGUGAAGGGGAGGCAGCUGCUGAUAAGCCCCCAGCUGCGGCUGAGGGGCCCGCGUCCACCUCUCCCAUCGAGGCAGAGGCCAAGCCAGAGGAGACAGUGGAGGACACCAGGGAUGCGGCGGACGCUCGCCCAGAUCCAGCAGAGCCCGCUGCCGCCUCCGAUCCUGCAUCGCCACCGGCUCCUCGUGCGCUCAUUGUCCUCUCCUCCUACCCAGAGGUGCUCUCUGCGGCGCACUGGCUGGGGUCGGUCUUCGGCCCCGCAGCAUUCGCCCCAUACACGUUUCAGAAGGAUGGCGUCGCGCUCCGGCUACUGCUGGAGGCGCAGACGGCUGAGCAGCAGCCGGCGGUGCUGGACGGCGGCAGUGGCCCCUACUCGAGCGACGCUCUCGGCCACGGUGGUGUGAUGCCCACCUUCCCCGAGACCACUAGCGGUCGGCGCUUUAUCGGGCCGCCGUUGUCGCUCCCCUUCAUCACUGACACGACUGCUGCUGCCGGUGCUCCGGCGCUGCCACCAGCGGAUCCCACGCAGGCCGAGUCUGCUCCGCGCCAUGCACAGGCGACGGUGCCGGCUCUUUCGGAGCUGGCGGCCCUCGUGAUGAAUGCGUCGCUGCCUGCAGAGGCCGCCGGCACAGCGCAAGGCUCGGCUGGGGAGCGCGCAACCGGCGGAGAUACAAAACUGAAACGGAGGCGGCACAGGGACGAUGAGGAGGUCAGCGAUGACGAUGCCGACGAGGAGCGUGCCGAGAAGCGGUCCUCCCGCACGCACCGCCGCCACCAUCGCCACCGCGGCGAGCGCGACGAGGCCGAGAGCGACGACGACGAGAUCAGGCGAGUGCAUCAUCGCAAGAAACGCUCGCCGCGCUCCAGCAGCCGCCAUCGCCAUCGCAGCCGGCACGGCGACCGCAGCGAUCGGGGAGGGGAGGCGGAGAGUCGAGGAGAGAGGGACGCAAGCAGCCAUCGCAGCCACCGUCGCCACCGCCGUCGCCGUGAUGAGGUCGACGGUGGUGACGGUGGCAAGGACAGGCGGCUUGUGGACCGCGAGGAGCGGCACUUGCAGCCGCACAGCAGCCAUCGAAGAAGCAGCCGCCGCCACCACCACCGCAGCCGCAGCGACGAGCGUCCGUCCCGUCACCGGAGUCGCCGUCACCACCACCACCACCACCGUAGCCGUCGUGGCCGAGACCGUCACGGCGAGGACCGGCGCAGUGUUUCAUCGUCGUCUUCCUCGUCUUCCACGGCCGCCUCGUCCACUUCCUCUCCUGGCUGUCAGAGUGCAGGGCCGCCUCCUUUGGUGCCCACUAACGCGGAGGCAGUGCUGCCGAUGAUGCUAGAUAACAGUAUAGAACCGCCGGCAGCUGACGAGCUGCGCGCCCUUGCGCUGGACUCUGUGGUGCCGUCUGCUGUGCCGAUGGUGGCACCGGUAACCCCCUUCUCUGCCGUUGCUGUUGCCGAGGAGCCGUCGGCGGCCGCAGAGAAGCAGCACGAAGCGGCUAAAGAAGACAGCACAGCUAAGCUGCCUGACGUUCUGCGCCAGCGCGUGCCGCUGUUGAUCACCACGUAUCACGCCCUGGGGAUGGCGCUCGGAAUGGUGCAGGGGGAGGCGUCCGCCCUGCCACCGCUGGAACACGUGCGUGUGGCGUUGUUCGUCAAUCUCGAGAAGGCGCUCAUGCCACCGCUGAAGGAGUCUUUUGUGCACUCGUGGUGGCUGUCGUUGGUGAACGCGCUGGAUGUGGAGUGCCAGUUUGUGGUGACGGCCGAUCGCAUGGGCACUGAGGUGCGCGGCUUCCUCGAUAGCACCAUCAUGCCCGACGCGGGGGAGCGGCUGGUGCACUUUGAUCAGCGCGACGCGUCGAUAUGGGCUGUGAUGAACGUGCAGGUGUGCGCGGUACCAGUGGAGGCGCCGGUGACCGCUUCGCCGCCGAACGGCGGCAGCGAAGGACGCCCUCGCAUAUCCGGCAGCGACAUCGACGCUGCCAAGGUGGCUCAUCUCUUCUCCACCAUUGUGGAACACAUGUCGUCGACCGGCUGCCACGCAACACACCAGAGAGGCGAUGCUGCGUUCGAGGCCCACCGUGGUGGGCAGGGUGCGCGUGUAGUGAUCGUCUGCUCUGCUCGUCGCGAGCAGUCGCUGGUGGUGACGCAGCUCCAGCGUCUUUUCCACGAUCAGGAGCACGACACCCACGCUGUGAUGGUGCGGGUGACGGAGAGAGUGGAGCUGUUUCGAGCAUCAGAGGCGGAGGCGCUGGUCCUGACGGAUGCGCAGCUGACAGAUCCUCGCGUGCUUCGUGAUGUGCACCAAUGCACCGAAGUGGACCUAAUCCUGCACUUCUCCUUGCCACGCACGGUGAUGACGCAGCUGGAGAAGAAGGAGAUCAUCAACUCGCUUGCGCAGCGCGGCCGCGCCAUCCUUGGGAGCUCGAAGCAGUUCUGUGCUCGCCGCUGGUGGCGCCGUACGGCCGUAGCGUCCGCUGCCGGUGGUGGCGCUGCCUUGGAUGCGCCGAGCAAUGCCGUCGACUUCGUCCCAGCCAAGGUGGAAUGCCAGCUGCUGCUGACGGAGUACAACGUGCACGGACGUGUUGGCUCGUGUGUGAUGGAGGCGCUGCGCGAGGUCAGCGACAGCUGAGUACCAAAGAAAAAAACGUUGCACGGCGCAAGCGAGCGGGGGUGGAUGGGUGUUGUGAGGAGAGGCCGGCCGCGCGCAUGUGGCCGCCACUCCCCGCAGCAGAUGAAUGAAUAGCAACGACGAAGGCCAGCUUCUCCUGCGCGAUGCGUUGUGCGGGCGCGCGCCUCCGAUGAGAUGACGUGGGUGGCGGCGUUUGUGCAGCGGGAGAUAGCUCGGCACCCCCGUCCCACCCCUUUCGCUUCCUCUGCACUGGAGUGUUUGCGAAGGGACGGGCUGACAGCUGAGCACGGUAAAGGCUAAAACGCGCGAAAAGGCAUGCAGACUGGCAGACGCGCGCCAGAGAGAAUGAAGGCGGCACGAACGCGUCGGGCCGCCGUCAACUGGCGUGCGGUCGUUGAUGGCCGGGGGUAGACGCAGGCACCAAUCACCGCGCGCUGAUCGGGCACUCGUGGAGGACGGCACUGCUUGCCGUGGUACGAGGGCGAAGGCACAGGCACACACCGACACUGUGCUGCAUGAGUGAACCAAGUGUAAACCAGAAGUGGGCGAGGUCCUGCGCACACGGCAGCGGCCUUCGGAGAGUUGCGACCCCGCCUCCUUUAUCGCUAGGCUUCGUGUUUGGGUGCUCUCCCCGUACGCUCAUGUGACGCGCCCCGCCCCCUUAAUAACACAAGCAUGACAGACAGCCCCGUGCUUCACUCCGCGUAUGUCGGCGUCGGUGGCGUUGGUGCGGCUCUUUGAAUGGGGCAAAUGCUCUUUGCACUGGUGUGCGUGUGUGAUGACACAACUGCGUCUUGUGUGACCCGACCUGGGCUGCUGCUUCGCUCCGGCCCACUCACGCGAGCGCAACUGUGCGCGUUCCUCUGACCGUUUUGUGGGUUUUACCACGGCACUCGGGCCAUUGGGUGGUGCUGCAGCGACCCUUUCCUCGUCUCGCCACCGCCUUUUCUCACACGCGGCGUUCCUACUUUCUGUUUUCUCUCUGUUUGACCCCCCCUCCCUCCCAUGUGAUGACGCGGGGGGAGGGGGGCCACCUCCGCACACCUCAGUUGCACGUGAGCGCACCCCGCAUGAGUCCUUCGAUACCGCUUCGCGCGCGAGUGGGUGUGAGCGUGCCCGCUAUCCUCCGCUCUAUUUCGCUUUCCGGCUUUGAGGCUGCGGAGGGUGGAAAGAGCGAAACAGAG
rnacentral:misc_RNA from 1 species